rnacentral:rRNA from 1 species
UACGAAGGGGGCUAGCGUUGCUCGGAAUCACUGGGCGUAAAGCGCACGUAGGCGGAUUGCUAAGUCAGGGGUGAAAUCCUGGAGCUCAACUCCAGAACUGCCUUUGAUACUGGCGGUCUCGAGUCCGGGAGAGGUGAGUGGAACUGCGAGUGUAGAGGUGAAAUUCGUAGAUAUUCGCAAGAACACCAGUGGCGAAGGCGGCUCACUGGCCCGGUACUGACGCUGAGGCACGAAGGCCAGGGGAGCAAACGGGG